rnacentral:rRNA from 1 species
AUGGCUCAGGAUGAACGCUAGCUACAGGCUUAACACAUGCAAGUCGAGGGGCAUCGAGAGGAAAGCUUGCUUCCUUGUCGGCGACCGGCGCACGGGUGAGUAACGCGUAUCCAACCUUCCCCUUAGUAGGGCAUAGCCCGGCGAAAGUCGGAUUAAUACCCUAUGUUUUCCGAUGAGGACAUCUGAGCUGGAAUAAAGAUUUAUCGCUAAGGGAUGGGGAUGCGUCUGAUUAGGUAGUCGGCGGGGUAACGGCCCACCGAGCCAACGAUCAGUAGGGGUUCUGAGAGGAAGGUCCCCCACAUUGGUACUGAGACACGGACCAAACUCCUACGGGAGGCAGCAGUGAGGAAUAUUGGUCAAUGGGCGAGAGCCUGAACCAGCCAAGUAGCCGUGCAGGAUGACGGCCCUAUGGGUUGUAAACUGCUUUUAUCGGGGGAUAAAGUGAGGGACGCGUCCCUUUUUGUAGGUACCCGAUGAAUAAGGACCGGCUAAUUCCGUGCCAGCAGCAGC